GUGCUGUGUGACCCUUUGGCGAUCUCUGCCUCUCUGGGCCUGUGUCUUAGGCUCUUCAAGAUCCAACGAGCAAAGCACAGGGCCUGCAGAGAGGUAGCGCUCUGCUCCUUACUCGCCUGAUUAU
rnacentral:pre_miRNA from 7 species